GGGUUGUGAGGUUAAGCGACUAAGCGUACACGGUGGAUGCCCUGGCAGUCAGAGGCGAUGAAGGACGUGCUAAUCUGCGAUAAGCGUCGGUAAGGUGAUAUGAACCGUUAUAACCGGCGAUUUCCGAAUGGGGAAACCCAGUGUGUUUCGACACACUAUCAUUAACUGAAUCCAUAGGUUAAUGAGGCGAACCGGGGGAACUGAAACAUCUAAGUACCCCGAGGAAAAGAAAUCAACCGAGAUUCCCCCAGUAGCGGCGAGCGAACGGGGAGGAGCCCAGAGCCUGAAUCAGUGUGUGUGUUAGUGGAAGCGUCUGGAAAGGCGCGCGAUACAGGGUGACAGCCCCGUACACAAAAAUGCACAUGCUGUGAGCUCGAUGAGUAGGGCGGGACACGUGGUAUCCUGUCUGAAUAUGGGGGGACCAUCCUCCAAGGCUAAAUACUCCUGACUGACCGAUAGUGAACCAGUACCGUGAGGGAAAGGCGAAAAGAACCCCGGCGAGGGGAGUGAAAAAGAACCUGAAACCGUGUACGUACAAGCAGUGGGAGCACAGAGCAAUCUGUGUGACUGCGUACCUUUUGUAUAAUGGGUCAGCGACUUAUAUUCUGUAGCAAGGUUAACCGAAUAGGGGAGCCGAAGGGAAACCGAGUCUUAACUGGGCGUUAAGUUGCAGGGUAUAGACCCGAAACCCGGUGAUCUAGCCAUGGGCAGGUUGAAGGUUGGGUAACACUAACUGGAGGACCGAACCGACUAAUGUUGAAAAAUUAGCGGAUGACUUGUGGCUGGGGGUGAAAGGCCAAUCAAACCGGGAGAUAGCUGGUUCUCCCCGAAAGCUAUUUAGGUAGCGCCUCGUGAAUUCAUCUCCGGGGGUAGAGCACUGUUUCGGCAAGGGGGUCAUCCCGACUUACCAACCCGAUGCAAACUGCGAAUACCGGAGAAUGUUAUCACGGGAGACACACGGCGGGUGCUAACGUCCGUCGUGAAGAGGGAAACAACCCAGACCGCCAGCUAAGGUCCCAAAGUCAUGGUUAAGUGGGAAACGAUGUGGGAAGGCCCAGACAGCCAGGAUGUUGGCUUAGAAGCAGCCAUCAUUUAAAGAAAGCGUAAUAGCUCACUGGUCGAGUCGGCCUGCGCGGAAGAUGUAACGGGGCUAAACCAUGCACCGAAGCUGCGGCAGCGACACUGUGUGUUGUUGGGUAGGGGAGCGU
rnacentral:rRNA from 1 species